GACGAACGCUGGCGGCGUGCUUAACACAUGCAAGUCGAACGGAAAGGCCCUGCUUUUGUGGGGUGCUCGAGUGGCGAACGGGUGAGUAACACGUGAGUAACCUGCCCUUGACUUUGGGAUAACUUCAGGAAACUGGGGCUAAUACCGGAUAGGAGCUCCUGCUGCAUGGUGGGGGUUGGAAAGUUUCGGCGGUUGGGGAUGGACUCGCGGCUUAUCAGCUUGUUGGUGGGGUAGUGGCUUACCAAGGCUUUGACGGGUAGCCGGCCUGAGAGGGUGACCGGCCACAUUGGGACUGAGAGACGGCCCAGACUCCUACGGGGGGCAGCAGUGGGGAAUAUUGCACAAUGGGCGGAAGCCUGAUGCAGCAACGCCGCGUGCGGGAUGACGGCCUUCGGGUUGUAAACCGCUUUCGCCUGUGACGAAGCGUGAGUGACGGUAAUGGGUAAAGAAGCACCGGCUAACUACGUG
rnacentral:rRNA from 1 species